GAUAAUUCUUAGCGGCUGAUUCAUUGCUUAUAAAAAAAAAUAGGCAGUUCUUCAUGCAAUUAUUGUCAUGUAAUUGUUGUAGAUUAAAAAUAUAUUUUCAGAGAAUUUCUCGUUAGUAAGUGUUACACCACUCUCGGCAAAAGGAAAUACUCAGGCGAUACAAUGUGCCGGCUAAAAAUAUACGCACACAAAGAUCAGUAACACGUAAAUAGAAUCUCUGCCUCCAACGCUACAAAAGCUGAAUAAUUAAGAAUCAUUAUUCAUUACACAGAGAUAAAUAACGUUGAAUUCCUUCAACUAAAUAAGAAUUUUCAAUACACAAAUAUCGUUUAUAUAAAACGCUCAUUUCGAUUCUUAAAUAAAAAUGCAUAUUUUAUCGUAUGCAAUUUAGAAUGCAAAUGUAAUAUGGUAAAAAUGCGUUUAUCCUCUCGUAAGAGCGACAAUUGCAAAUACGUAUAAGAUGCCACAUACAUAAAACAUAAGUAAAAUUAUAAAACGUUACCUAUGCUUACCGGCCAGUUUCUUGAAACAACCAGUGCGACAACGACGUCACUUGAUCGUUCAGACGGAUCUUUCUUUUCUUUUUUGAUACCAAUAUGAUCUGUUCCAAAAAGAUCAGGACGAAAAACGGCAGCCAUAUCUACACACCCAUCGAGCUUAUCUUAGAUACAAUCUAAUUAUGUUUGAUCUACUGAUCAAACAUCAAUAUAAUGAUGUUAUCUAUGACAUGUAAUUUAUCAUUCUAUGUGGAAUAAAUAGUGUGUUUUGAAAACAAGAAA